AUUGAACGCUGGCGGCAGGCCUAACACAUGCAAGUCGAACGGUAACAGGAAGCAGCUUGCUGCUUUGCUGACGAGUGGCGGACGGGUGAGUAAUGUCUGGGAAACUGCCUGAUGGAGGGGGAUAACUACUGGAAACGGUAGCUAAUACCGCAUAACGUCGCAAGACCAAAGAGGGGGACCUUCGGGCCUCUUGCCAUCGGAUGUGCCCAGAUGGGAUUAGCUUGUUGGUGGGGUAACGGCUCACCAAGGCGACGAUCCCUAGCUGGUCUGAGAGGAUGACCAGCCACACUGGAACUGAGACACGGUCCAGACUCCUACGGGAGGCAGCAGUGGGGAAUAUUGCACAAUGGGCGCAAGCCUGAUGCAGCCAUGCCGCGUGGAUGAAGAAGGCCUUCGGGUUGUAAAGUACUUUCAGCGGGGAGGAAGGGAGUAAAGUUAAUACCUUUACUCAUUGACGUUACCCGCAGAAGAAGCACCGGCUAACUCCGU
rnacentral:rRNA from 1 species